AGCGAUGAAGCCCUCGGGUGUAAAGCUCUUUCGGCAGGGAAGAUAAUGACGGUACCUGCAAAAGCAGCUGCGGCUAACUACGUGC
rnacentral:rRNA from 1 species